rnacentral:snoRNA from 1 species
AAGUAUGAUGAUAAUAAAAAAAGACAAGCUGGAAUUACCUGCUGAGCAAUUGCAUUUGAAUGAUAAUCUUUUUUAACUACUUCUGAUC